AAUGAACGCUGGCGGCAGGCCUAAAACAUGCAAGUCGAACGCUCUAGCAAUAGAGAGUGGCGCACGGGUGCGUGACACGUGGGAAUAUGCCUUUUGGUACGGAACAACGUUUGGAAACGAACGCUAAUACCGUAUGGUCCCUGCGGGGUAAAGAUUUAUCGCCAAAAGAUUAGCCGGCGCUGGAUUAGCUAGUUGGUGAGGUAAUGGCUCACCAAGGCGACGAGCCAUAGCUGGUCUGAGAGGACGAUCAGCCACACUGGGACUGAGACACGGCCCAGGCUCCUACGGGAGGCAGCAGUUAGGAAUAUUGGACAAUGGGCGCAAGCCUGAUCCAGCCAUGCCGCGUGAGUGAUGAAGGCCUUCGGGUUGUAAAGCUCUUUAGCCGAUGAUUAUAAUGACUGUAGUCGGAGAAUAAGCCCCGGCUAUCUUCGUGCCAGCCGCCGCGGUAA
rnacentral:rRNA from 1 species